rnacentral:rRNA from 1 species
UACAGAGGGUGCAAGCGUUAAUCGGAAUUACUGGGCGUAAAGCGUGCGUAGACGGUUACAUAAGUCGGGUGUGAAAGCCCCGGGCUCAACCUGGGAAUUGCAUUCGAGACUGCGUAGCUAGGGUGCGGAAGAGGGAAGCGGAAUUUCCGGUGUAGCGGUGAAAUGCGUAGAUAUCAGGAGGAACACCUGUGGUGUAGACAGCUUACUGGACCACUUCUGACGCUGAGACACGAAAGCGUGGGUAGCAAACAGG